GUAGGAAUUAGAGCCCUGUUUUCUCUAAACGUAUGUUGUUUCCCUGGGCGAAGAUCUAGAGCAGCUUCGCUUCUGCUGGGGAAUGAAUCUACAACUCAUAUUCAGACUCAUAGAGAGUUCUGAAGUCCAUUCAGAGACCAAAGGGAGCACGCUGUUGCUGGAAAAAGAGAGGAGAUUCAAAGACAAGGGGCUUCAUGAUGCUGUGAUUCUGUAUGAACACAAAAAAAGUGAGCUGAAAAGGUUGUAAUGAAUGAACCAGUGCAGCAGUGACACUGUGCAUCCCUGGCAGCUGCCUUUUGGUAUAGGCUAAAGCAACUGAAGUGUCUGCUUUCACACUCAGGUCCUUUGAAGAUAGACACUACAGAGCAUUCGCUCUCAGCUUUGGAGACAUGAACUGUCCUUUUACUGGACAAAGUGAGCUUUGUUGCAUAAAACUGUGGUUUGGAACUAACACUUACUCUGGAGCAAAGAAUCCAUUGAAAGAGUUUGAAAAACUCCAGUCAAUAAGGCAGGAUGCAGAAAGAAGGAGCUUUCUGAACUUGGAGAAGGUUGGUAAACAGGAGGUUGACAGCCAAAUGUUGGUGCCCCCCCACAUCGAGGGAAUGGGGACUGUGUUGCAUGGAUGCGUUCCAGUUGGAGGAGAGCUUUGCUCUGUGGAGAUGCUCUUGGGUCAGGUGAAGACAGCAGGAUUCUUGCAAACCAGAUGGGUAAGUCAGCUCCUCAGAGCUGGAUUUCAAAUGAAAUCUGGGCCCAUUCAUUAUUGCAGGGUGGAACCAGGAAUUUCCAUGGCUUUGAUCAAAAUCCUACAAAAG
rnacentral:lncRNA from 1 species